rnacentral:snRNA from 1 species
AUACUUACCUGGCAGGGGAGACACCAUGAUCAAGCAGGUGGUUUUCGCAGGGCGAGGCUCACCCAUUGCACUUGGGGUGUGUUGACCCCUGAGAUUUCCCAAAAUGCGGGAAACUCGACUGCAUAAUUUGUGGUAGUGGGGGACUACGUUGGUGCUCUCCCCUG